rnacentral:lncRNA from 1 species
CGGCUGGGGGCUUUAUUAGGGGGCACCGGGGUCUGCUUUCCGACUCCCUUCCGACUCCGCGCCUGCGCAGGAAGCGAUUUGGGGAGUGUUGUGAAUUCCGAGGGCUCCACACUUAAGAGGUUGUACACUCACCUGUCUACCUGGACUCCAAUUUCCAUAUUUCCAGCCACUUGAGGACUGAGAGGUGGAUGAUAAACCCUGUCAUAGUGGAGCAAGUUCAGGUGUUUAACCGCUGUUAUGGGGGAUCUGCCUUUUCUCCCUCUUCUUUCUUACUUCCAUAAGUAUGUAUGUGCAGAGAUUGAAAAAUAACCUUGAGAGAGUCCAUCCAUCUAACUCCAGUUCAUUGGAAAUUUCUGCUUCUUUGAGACUGAGGUUAUAUUCCACUUCUUCUGACUACACCACCACCAUCAAUCUCCUUCUCUGAACUCUUGGAUCAUUACUUCAACCUGAAACAACUCAUCAGGCAGAAUAGUUGCCUACUGCCCCAACCCCACCAAAUGUUCCAGCACCUCUGAUAUUACCUCACAUGGCAAGAGGGCUUUGAAGAUGUGAUUGAGUCAAGGAUCUUGAAUGGGGAGAUUAUCCUGAAUUAUUCAGCUGGACCCAGUGUAAUCACAAAGGUUUUUCAAAGAUGGAAGAGAGGCAGAAGAGCCAGAAAAGGAUAUGUGACAAUGGAGUCAGUGUCAGAGUUGGAGUGACGUGAUGUGAGAAGGAUUCAACCUGCUGUUUCUGGCUUUGAGGAUGAAAGAAGGGGCCAUGAGCCAAGCAAUACAGGUGGCUUCUUUCAAGAAGUUGGAAAAGGUAAGGAAAUGGGUUCUCACCUAGAACUGCUGGAAAGCAACCCAGCCCUACUGACACCAUGAUUUUAGCUCAGUGAGACUCUGUCCAGAUUUCUGACCUCUAGAACUAUAAGAUAAUAAAUUUGCAUUGUUUUAAGCCACUAAGUUUGUGGUAAUUUGAUAAAGCAUCAACAAAAAAUGAACACUUCUUCCCAGCAGGACUCCUUUUGAAGACCAGUUCUGUAUACAUCAUCGUAUCCAGUUGGUAAUAUUUUAUGUUAUUUUGGUUUGAUUUUUGUUUGUGGCAUAUGGCUCUGCUGUCCUGUGACUCUAAGUAGAAGAGAAAAUAGUGCCAAUAAUUCUUCAUGGAGAUGCACCUCUCUCAAGUCUUGAACAAUGUUUGAGGAAAAGUGCUUUCAGCUGGGCUGAUGAGAACACCUUGGCACUCUUUCCUGCAAUGGGCACUGAUUGAGGGUCUUCCUGGUGUGGCAUCAUCAAAUCCCUGUUGCUCAAACCCACUAAUUAGCUCAUUCUUAUCUACAAGUAGCAGGGGCCCUAAAGCUCUCUGAGAAGAUCUCAUACUGUGUCUCCUACAUUUCAUCUUCUAUAAUCUCUUAUUCUUAGAGACAGAAAGAUGGUUAAAAGACAUCACUUCAUUUCUUUCUCUGGAUUUGGAAAGAGUUAUAUAUUGGGAUUAUGCUGUUAGUUUACACUUGCAUUGUUUAAAUUAGAGGAAAGGUUAUUUUGUGCAGAACAAAUAAAAAUUACUCUUUAACUACCUUUCAGAAUAUCCCAACUUUUAACAUAAGCUGUUUUGUAAAGGCUGGUUGUAGUGACUUGCUUCAUAAUAGACUAUUAAAAUAAGAUGCAUU